rnacentral:rRNA from 1 species
CCUACGGGAGGCAGCAGUGGGGAAUAUUGGACAAUGGGCGAAAGCCUGAUCCAGCCAUGCCGCGUGUGUGAAGAAGGCCUUCGGGUUGUAAAGCACUUUCAGUGGGGAAGAAAGCCUUGGGGCUAAUACCCUCGAGGAAGGACAUCACCCACAGAAGAAGCACCGGCUAACUCCGUGCCAGCAGCCGCGGUAAUACGGGGGGUGCGAGCGUUAAUCGGAAUUACUGGGCGUAAAGCGCGCGUAGGCGGUCUGAUAAGCCGGUUGUGAAAGCCCCGGGCUCAACCUGGGAACGGCAUCCGGAACUGUCAGGCUAGAGUGCAGGAGAGGAAGGUAGAAUUCCCGGUGUAGCGGUGAAAUGCGUAGAGAUCGGGAGGAAUACCAGUGGCGAAGGCGGCCUUCUGGACUGACACUGACGCUGAGGUGCGAAAGCGUGGGUAGCAAACAGGAUUAGAUACCCGAGUAGUC